UUAAAAGACACUUUACAGUCAUUAUUUAACCUUUAUAUGUGCUGUAAAAAGCCCAGGCUGUGAUAUGUGGUAUCCUCUGAAGUGAUGCAGUGAGUCUACUAUGUGGCAACAUCUCAACAAAGUGCAACAGAAGCCUUCUCAAGAGCCGGCGUCAAGUAUUUGAGCUACUUUACUUGUAUGACUUUAUAGUAUUUCCAUCUUAUGCAACGUUAUACUUCUUGUCUAAUCUCAAAGGCCUCGUCCAAACACUUGGAGGAGCGGUUCCAACGCAGGAAGACUCCUGUAAUAGAAGAGAGAGCACUCAGCAGGCUCUGAGGGGCCACAGAGGGCCAGAUCACAAGGCUGUUGGCCUCGUAGAGUGGGUUGGUCAGACGCUCCAGUUCUUGGGGCCGGUUCACCCACGACCAAAGGGACACAGUCUUCUCAGGCAAAGACAGUUUGGCUCUAUGAAAAGGGUGAGAGGGUGUUCACCAAUGGUUAACCACUAAGAACAGUGGUUGCCUAUACACACAAUGACACGUCCCUGGAUGAACAAGGAAAAUCACAACGCAAUGUGAAGGAAACGCGUCAUGACAUAUUUGUUGCAUCCUUACAUCAAUGUCAUGAAUAGGACAAUCUGUAAAAAGUUGUAUAAACCCUGCAUAUUGUAUCUGAUUGCAUUAGAUUAUUUAUGAGCAAAAGAAGCAUAUGGCGGACAUAAGCUGGUAGACCAACCACAACAGACUUCAGACUCACCUCUCAGCUGUACUGUUGCCCAGGAAGGUGCCAAACUGAGAAGCAUAGGCGUGAUCAAAGACCAGCACCAGGAAGCUCUCGCUGAAUUCAAAGGAACAUGGAAACUGGCGAAGGAUCUGCCACACACAGUCCAAGAAGAGAAGGAAGACGGGAGCCUCUUGACGAGGCUUGCUGUUGGAGAAGGCCGACUGGGCGCAGCGGUGGUGGAACGGGUGACCCGCCUGAGACAGAUGGUCAAAGAGGUCCUGAAAACGACUUUGGCAGUGCUUCAAAAGGUCAGAUAACUUUACCUGGAGCCACUCUCGCUCCACCAGGCCUUGGAAGCCUCUGAUGGUCCUGCAGGCCGGAUCAAGGAUGAUCUGAGCCAAGGAGGUCACCUGCAGGGUGGAAUCUGUCCCCUCUGUGCCGUGAACGAGGACCGACGCUCCCUCCCUGAGACCAACACACACAAUGACAGUUUGUCAUUGCUUCCUGCUACUCUACUGUACACAGAUUCAAAACUGAACACUGGGACGUUCUCAGUUCAGCAUGUUUAGAGCAGAAACACGUACUGCAUAUUGCUGUACUGGCCCAGGAUUAGUAUUACAAGGAAAUCAAUCGUUCCCUGACCUGUCGAUACACUGGGCAGCCAAGCAGGCGGUGGUGAGGAUCUCCUUGACAUGAGUCUGCCAGUUGGAAGCCUCGAGCUUGCUUAACCAGCGGUCCAUACUGUGGGACUGGUCGUUGCAUGCCUCUACCAGUUUUAUCAGGCUCUCCUGGAGGAUGUUAGACCUGGAAAUGACAUUUGAAAUCAUCACGAUUCACAAUUCUUAUUAAUUCACUAAUUAAUAUAGAGAGAGUAUAAAUAUCAGUCAUAUGAAUGUUGAAAAACACAUAGUGUCGGUGCCUUGUCGAACACACCACCAACAUUAUUACUUUAUGGAUUCAACGUAGCCCUUACUGACCACUCACCUUUCGAUUGCCUUGUGAAUCCUCCUCCAUUGGGGGUAGUUAGCCUCAGACUCGAACCCUCCACCUCGAGCUUUGGCCUGCUGGGCAAGAUUGAUGGUGCGAGUGUCGAUGAUGUAGCCACGUUUUCCUGGUCGCAGUGUGGCAUUGAUCAGCUUCUCGUCUUCCUUACAGCGUCGCCCAUUGGUGCCCGUCAGAGGCUGCCCUGCUCGCAUCAUCACCUGAAAGUUGAGGCAUCCUCUGGAAGAAAUGAAUUCCAGCCAUCUUCUAUGACUUCAAACAUGGGCCGGUAGAAGAAAGGAUACAUCAGGGAGAGUAUGUCAAGCGUGGACAGAGCCUUGAAAGUAAAAAAAUAUAUAUAUGUAUUAGUUAAUGUAGAGUCUCAUUUGACAUUUAAAAUAGGACAAUCUUUCAGAUAGUAAAAGUGAACAUUAUUUUUUGGGGUUUUGUUUUACCUCAACAGAGCUGGCAAUGUUGAAACACUCCUCCAUGCCAGGAAUGUCGAGCUGGAUCACCCUCAGGUCUUUGCAUUUGACUAUGAUGCUUCCCAGGGAGCCCACAAAUCUGAAGGGGAAGUUCGGAGACAGGAAAACUCCUGCCUGCAUUUGGUCGAGGCACACGCCUCAGAGCAAGAGUUGGUCGCCAGCAAUUGCUCCUAGGGGGACAGUGCAUUCAUUUUCAGAUCCUCUCUCCACUGGAACAGUACAGCGUAAGCAAAAAAAAAAAAGAAGAAGAAAUACAGCAGUGAAAUGCUUCAAUCUGGUGCAGAGACCGGUGUCACCGCCGACAACCACAACUCUACUCUCACUGCGUUUCCUCUCCUAUGUGCAACAUCCCCCUUUUCAUGUGAAUCCUCACAUCAGCCAGCGAGAAGCUCAUCAUCACCUUUUCU